UGUAAAGUUCAAGCUCCGAUUAUGAGGGCGAAACCGCGAAUGGCUCAUUAAAUCAGUCAUAAUCUACUUGAUUGUUUAAAGUUUAUAUGGAUAACUGUGGUAAUUCUAGAGCUAAUACAUGCACAAAGGGGGCGACUCGUUUCGGCGAGAAGCUCUGCGUUUAUUAGACUAAGACCAAUGGUGUCGCCGAGAGGCGCAUCUUUCAAUGGUGACUCUGAAUAAAUAACGGGUGAAAGCCCGUGUUGCUGACCUGACAUACCAAAAGUGCGUCGCAAGACGUACUGUCAGGCAAAUCAAUCGAGUGUCUGCUCUAUCAACUGUGGAUGGUAGGGUAAUUGCCUACCAUGGUGAUGACGGGUAACGGGGAGUUAGGGCUCGACUCCGGAGAACAAGCCUGAGAAACGGCUAGUAGGACUAAGGUCUGCAGCAGGCGCGAAACUUACACAAUGCUAGAUUACCAAUAGCGAUGUAGUGAAGAAAAAUAACGAUGUACUUGCACUUUAACGUGCUAGUACAAUUGGAAUGAGACGACUCUAAACCAGUUAGUCGAGUAACAAAUGGAGGGCAAGUCUGGUGCCAGCAGCCGCGGUAAUUCCAGCUCCAUUAGCAUACAUUAAAGUUGUUGCGGUUAAAAAGCUCGUAGUUGAAUUUUGGGCGGGCUCUAUUGGGAUGCAGUCGUUAAGGUUGCUACACGUUGGUUUGCCCAUGUUAGUCAGCUGACUGUAUUUUCCCUAUAGGAACCCGUCGUUUCGUCACUUAAUUGAGUGCGAAGCGUGCCGGUGUUUACUAGACUUCGGUCUUUUUACAACGGCGUGUUUACCUUGAGAAAAUUAGAGUGCUCAGAGCAGGCAGUUGGGGUGUAAAAACCUCUUUAUGCUUGAAUAAUGUUGCAUGGAAUAAUAGAAUACGGCCUCGGUUCUAUUCUGUUGGUCUUAUAGAACAACAAACAAGUUGAUUGAAGCGAUAAAAAGUCUGCCUUGGAUGUGGCUUGGUUUGCGUUUGGGAGUAUAGCUCAAGUUUUGUCUUGUUGCCUGGGGGGUUAAAGCCUCAGCGCCUUACAAGCUUGAAACUAUCCUCAAGCCUGCCUUGUCAUUAAAGCAUCCUUGGUACGGCUAGCUUUCUAAUCAACUGAGGCAAUGGUUAAAAGAAAUAGUCGCGGCGGCAUCAGUACUGCAUCGUGAGAGGUGAAAUUCUUAGACCGAUGCAAGACUAACUGAAGCGAAAGCGUUUGCCGAGGAUAUUUUCAUUAAUCAAGAACGAAAGUUAGAGGUUCGAAGGCGAUCAGAUACCGCCCUAGUUCUAACCAUAAACGUUGCCAACUAGCAAUUGGGUUGCGAUUCCUUUAAUCGGAGCGUAAAAAACUCCGAUCAUUAUGAUCCACCCAGCGGCUCUCGUAGGGAAACCAAAGUGUUUGGGUUCCGGGGGAAGUAUGAUUGCAAAGUUGAAACUUAAAGGAAUUGACGGAAGGGCACCACCAGGAGUGGAGCCUGCGGCUUAAUUUGACUCAACACGGGGAAACUUACUAGAUUAGAACUCUGGAAUGAUUGACAGAUUGAUAGCUCUUUCUUGAUUCAGAGGAUGGUGGUGCAUGGCCGUUCUUGAUUCGUAUUCCGAAACGUCUGCUUAAUUGCGAUAACGAGUGAGACCUCACCCAACUAACUAGUCGUUUGGUGCGCUGUGGAACGCAAAAGUCUAGCUUGGAUUCUGGCCAUGGAGUGGCAACACAAAGUGGUUACCAGGUUAGAUGUUCUCUGCUCGCCUGCGGACUUCUUAGAGGGAUAAACGGUGUUUUAGCCGUAAGAAACGAGGCAAUAACAGGUCUGUGAUGCCCUUAGAUAUUCUAGGCCGCACGCGUGCUACAAUGGCGUGUGCAGAAAGCUUGUUCGAGGUUCGUCCUGAGAGAACUGGUCGCUUGGUUGCGCGUAGGGGCAACUUUGCGCGUAAUCGGCGGAGAAGUGACUCAGGUUCACGAGCCGAGAGAAACCGCGGUCGAAAGAUCGCGGCAAUCAUGAAUACACGCCGUGAUUUGGGAUUGGGGAUUGCAAUUGUUGCCCAUGAACGAGGAAUUCCCAGUAAGCGCAAUUCAUCAUAUUGCGUUGAUUACGUCCCUGCCCUUUGUACACACCGCCCGUCGCUACUACCGAUUGGAAGUUUUAGUGAGGCAUCUGGACCUGCUGGCCACGAAGGGGGCAACUCCUUCAGGUUGGCGGGGAAGUUUGUCGAACUCAAAUUUCUAGAGGAAGUAAAAGUCGUAACAAGGUUUCCGU
rnacentral:rRNA from 1 species